rnacentral:rRNA from 1 species
AGAGUUUGAUCCUGGCUCAGGAUGAACGCUGGCGGCGUGCUUAACACAUGCAAGUCGAACGGUGAAGCCCAGCUUGCUGGGUGGAUCAGUGGCGAACGGGUGAGUAACACGUGAGCAAUCUGCCCCUGACUCUGGGAUAAGCGCUGGAAACGGCGUCUAAUACUGGAUACGAACAGCGACCGCAUGGUCAGUUGUUGGAAAGAAUUUCGGUCAGGGAUGAGCUCGCGGCCUAUCAGCUUGUUGGUGAGGUAAUGGCUCACCAAGGCGUCGACGGGUAGCCGGCCUGAGAGGGUGACCGGCCACACUGGGACUGAGACACGGCCCAGACUCCUACGGGAGGCAGCAGUGGGGAAUAUUGCACAAUGGGCGCAAGCCUGAUGCAGCAACGCCGCGUGAGGGACGACGGCCUUCGGGUUGUAAACCUCUUUUAGCAGGGAAGAAGCGAAAGUGACGGUACCUGCAGAAAAAGCGCCGGCUAACUACGUGCCAGCAGCCGCGGCAAUACGUAGGGCGCAAGCGUUAUCCGGAAUUAUUGGGCGUAAAGAGCUCGUAGGCGGUUUGUCGCGUCUGCUGUGAAAUCCCGAGGCUCAACCUCGGGUCUGCAGUGGGUACGGGCAGACUAGAGUGCGGUAGGGGAGAUUGGAAUUCCUGGUGUAGCGGUGGAAUGCGCAGAUAUCAGGAGGAACACCGAUGGCGAAGGCAGAUCUCUGGGCCGUAACUGACGCUGAGGAGCGAAAGGGUGGGGAGCAAACAGGCUUAGAUACCCUGGUAGUCC